rnacentral:rRNA from 1 species
ACGAACGCUGGCGGCAGGCUUAACACAUGCAAGUCGAACGCAUGCCUUCGGGCAUGAGUGGCAGACGGGUGAGUAACGCGUGGGAACCUACCCCUUGGUACGGGAUAGCUCCGGGAAACUGGAGAUAAUACCGUAUGUGUCCUGAGGGACAAAGAUUCAUCGCCAAGGGAUGGGCCCGCGUCGGAUUAGCUAGUUGGUGGGGUAACGGCCUACCAAGGCGACGAUCCGUAGCUGGUCUAAGAGGAUGAUCAGCCACAUUGGGGCUGAGACACGGCCCAAACUCCUACGGGAGGCAGCAGUGGGGAAUAUUGGACAAUGGGCGCAAGCCUGAUCCAGCCAUGCCGCGUGAGUGAUGAAGGCCCUGGGGUUGUAAAGCUCUUUCACCGGUGACGAUAAUGACGGUAACCGGAGAAGAAGCCCCGGCUAACUUCGUG